GACGAACGCUGGCGGCGUGCUUAACACAUGCAAGUGGAGCGACGAACCGGGGGCUUGCCCCGGGGCAGAGCCGCGAACGGGUGAGUAACACGUGGGUUACCUGCCCUGAUGACCGGGACAACCCGUCGAAAGACGGGCUAAUACCGGAUGUGCCCGCAAGGGGAAAGGAGGCGUAAGCUUCCGCAUCGGGAUGGGCCCGCGGAGCAUUAGCUUGUUGGUGAGGUAAUAGCUCACCAAGGCUUCGAUGCUUAGCUGGUCUGAGAGGACGAUCAGCCACACUGGGACUGAGACACGGCCCAGACUCCUACGGGAGGCAGCAGUGGGGAAUCUUGCGCAAUGGGCGAAAGCCUGACGCAGCGACGCCGCGUGAGGGAUGACGGCCU
rnacentral:rRNA from 1 species